CCUACGGGAGGCAGCAGUGGGGAAUCUUGCGCAAUGGGCGAAAGCCUGACGCAGCAACGCCGCGUGCGGGAAGAAGGCUUUCGGGCUGUAAACCGCUUUCAGCAGGAACGAAAAUGACGGUACCUGCAGAAGAAGGAGCGGCCAACUAUGUGCCAGCAGCCGCGGUGAUACAUAGGCUUCAAGCGUUGUCCGGAUUUAUUGGGCGUAAAGAGUUCGUAGGCGGUCAAGUAAGUCGGGUGUGAAAAUUCUGGGCUCAACCCAGAGACGCCACCCGAUACUGCUUAACUUGAGUUCGAUAGGGGAGUGGGGAAUUCCUAGUGUAGCGGUGAAAUGCGCAGAUAUUAGGAGGAACACCGGUGGCGAAGGCGCCACUCUGGAUCGAUACUGACGCUGAGGAACGAAAGCAUGGGUAGCAAACAGGAUUAGAUACCCUGGUAGUCCAUGCCGUAAACGGUGGGCACUAGGUGUGGGUUUCUAUUAACGAAAUCCGCGCCGUCGCUAACGCAUUAAGUGCCCCGCCUGGGGAGUACGGUCGCGAAGACUAAAACUUAAAGGAAUUGACGG
rnacentral:rRNA from 1 species